UACGGGGGGAGCAAGCGUUGUUCGGAUUUACUGGGCGUAAAGGGCGCGUAGGCGGUCGUGACAAGUCACUUGUGAAAUCUCCGGGCUUAACUCGGAACGGUCAAGUGAUACUGUCGGACUAGAGUACAGAAGGGGCAACUGGAAUUCUCGGUGUAGCGGUGAAAUGCGUAGAUAUCUGGAGGAAUACCGGUGGCGAAGGCGGCAUCCUGGACCGAAACUGACGCUUAAGCGCGAAAGCUAGGGGAGCAAACGGG
rnacentral:rRNA from 1 species